UGCGUAGGCGGCGCGGAAAGUCAGGGGUGAAAUCCCGGAGCUCAACUCCGGAACUGCCUUUGAUACUCCCGCGCUUGAGAACUGGAGGGGAGACCGGAAUUCACGGUGGAGCAGUGAAAUGCGUGGAUAUCGUGAGGAACACUAGUGGCGAAGGCGGGUCUCUGGACAGUAUCUGACGCUGAGGCACGAAGGCCAGGGGAGCGAACG
rnacentral:rRNA from 1 species